rnacentral:rRNA from 1 species
AUUGAACGCUGGCGGCAUGCUUUACACAUGCAAGUCGGACGGCAGCACAGAGAAUCUUGCUUCUUGGGUGGCGAGUGGCGAACGGGUGAGUAAUAUAUCUGAACGUACCGAGUAAUGGGUGAUAUCUAAUCGAAAGAUUAGCUAAUACCGCAUAUUCUCUGAGGAGGAAAGCAGGGGACCUUCUUGCCUUGCUUUAUUCUAGCGGCCGAUAUCUGAUUAGCUAGUUGGUGGGGUAAAGGCCUACCAAGGCGACGAUCAGUAGCGGGUCUGAGAGGAUGAUUCGCGACAGGGGGACUGAGACACGGCCCAGACACCUACGGGAGGCAGCAGUGGGGAAUUUUGGACAAGGGGCGGAAGCCUGAUACAGCCAUGCCGCGUGUAUGAAGAAGGCCUUCGGGUUGUAAAGGACUUUUGUCAGGGAAGAAAAGGCUGUUGCUAAUACCGACAGCUGAUGACGGUACCUGAAGAAUAAGCACCGGCUAACUACGUG